rnacentral:lncRNA from 1 species
UGGUACAGCCACUUUGGAAGACAGUUUGGCAGUUUCUUACAAAACUAAACAUACUCUAUCCAUACAGUCCAGCAAUUGCAAUUCUUGGUAUUUACCCAAAUGAGCUGAAAACAUGUCUACACAAAUACCUGCAUAGAGAAGUCCAUAGCACCUUUAUUCAUAAUUGCCAAAACUUGGAAGCAACCAAGAUGUCCUUUAGUAGAUGAGUGUCUAAAUAAAUUGUGGUACAUCCAGGCUUUGGAAUAUUAUUCACCAUGAAAAAGAAAUGAGCUAUGAAGCCACAAAAAGGCAUACAAAAAACUUAAAUUGAUAUUCCUGCUGAGGCAGGAGGAUCACUUCAGCCUAGGAGUUCAAGAUCAGCCGAAGCAAUAUAGUGAGAUCUCAUCUCUACCAAAACAAAACAAAACAAAAAAACAAGUGAAAGAAGCCAAUCUGAAAAGGAUACAUACUGCGUAACUCAAAGUAUAUGACACUCUGGAAAAGGCAAAACUAUGGGGAUAGUAAAAAGAUUAGUGGUUGUCAGGAAUUGGGGGAAGGGAGGGAUGUCAGGAAUUGGGGGAAGGGAGCGAUGAAUAGGCAGAGCAGAGUAUUUUUAGGGCAAUUAAAUUAUUUUUUACAAUGAUAAACACACGUCUUUAUAUCUUCGUCAAAACCUAUCAAUUAGAACCAAGUGAUCACAGCAGAAAAAAAAAGAAAAAGAAAAAGAAAAAACCCUAUAGAAUGUACACCGCCAAAAGUGAACCCUAAUGUAAACUAUGGACUUUGGGUGACAAUGAUGAGUCAAUGUAGGUUCAUCAAACAUACACCACUGUGGUGUGGGAUAUUGAUUCGGGGAAGGGUGUCCAAGUGUGGGGAAAGGAAAGUGGUAUAUAAGAACUCUGUUUUCCACUCAAUUUUGCUAUGAACCUAAAACUGCUCUAAAAGAUAAAGUUUAUUAAUUUUUUAAAAAAAGAUUUGCCGCCUCAUCCUGUGUUCAAUUUUUUUUAAAAAAAAUUAUAUGCGCAGAAAAGGGUUGGUAGAAAUAUUGCAGAGUUGAUAUCCAGAUAACAAAGAAUGUCUAUAAGUCAAUAAAGAAAAAAAUUGUAAACCCUAUUUAAAAUUUAAAAGUAGGCAGUUCACAGAAAGCACACAAAUAGGGAACUUCAUUCCUAGGAAGAUGGCAGGCUAUGUUAUUUGUAUCAGCACUAAAAACUAAAAAUGCUAGAUUGUUUAAAAUUUUCAAAGCACUGAAAAGCUGAGAAUAUAAGUCAGCAAUCUAAGGAAAAGCCAGAACCUAGAGCAGUAAGGUGAGCAUUUAAGCAGCUUUUGCACUGUAGGAUAAUACCAAGUCUUCAAGUGUACUAACAUCCUUAUAUAAAAAAGAGCAGAGUGAAUCAAUCCAACUUCAAUUUUAGAAAAUUAAGUAUGCAUAUUAUAGAUUUACUAAAACAAUAAACAAAGUACAUAAACUCCAAACAGUGGGAAAAGAAUAGAAAAAUAAAAAUAAUUGCUCUAAAACACCCAAGAAUAUAUUAAAAAUAAGUAGAGAUGGGUCAAAGGAAUCACAAAAUGAAAUGUUAUACUUAAAUACAAAUAAGGUAUAUCUGUAAUUACAUUAAAUGAACUAAAAUGCUUCCACUGAAAGAGUGAAGUCAGACUACACUUUUUUAAAAAUGCAAAUAUAUGCUGCUUAUAAGUGACAUACCUCAAAUUAGAGAAAAUGUGAAAAUAAAAGGACAGAGAAAAUUUUCCUUGUAAAUAUUAAAAAAGAAAAAUAUAGUUACAGUAAUAUCAAAAAAUAAAUUUUCAGACAAAAAGCAUUACUAGAGAUUAAAAAAAGAGACAAUGACAAAAGAAUCAAUUCAUCUGGAAGCUCUUAAUUUGUCUUGAUGUACCUAAUGACAUAACCUUAAAAUGUAAAAAGCAAACAUUGACAGAACUACAAGGAGAAAUAGAAAAUACAAAAUUAUAAUAGGAAAGUUUAACAUGCUUUUUGUUUUUUUACCAAUUGACAGAACAAGCAAACAAAAAGUAGGAUAUAGACAUUUUAAAUAAAUUGCUGUACUUGACCAAAUAAUGCCAUGUGUGAAAGUAGUGAGUACACACAUGCCCUCACACAGAGUACCCAUCAAUAGCAGAAUACAUAUUCUUGUAAGUGUUCAUGCAAUAUUUAUUUUAAAAUGACGAUCUAUGGAGCCAAGAGGAUUUCAAAAGGAUUGUAAUCAUAGAUAGUGUGUCCUUAGACCACAAUGCAAUUAUGUUAGGAAUCAAUAAUAAAAACUAAUAUCUCCCUCUCCCUCUCCGUCUCCCCACGGUCUCCCUCUCCCUCUCUUUCCACGGUCUCCCUCUGAUGCCGAGCCGAAGCUGGACUGCAAUGACGUGAUCUCGGCUAGCUACAACCUCCACCUCCCAGCCGCCUGCCUUGGCCUCCCAAAGUGCCGAGAUUGCAGCCUCUGCCCGGCUGCCACCCCGUCUGGGAAGUGAGGAGCGUCUCUGCCUGGCCGCCCAUCAUCUGGGAUGUGAGAAGCCCCUCUGCCCAGCUGCCCAGUCUGGGAAGUGAGAAGCGCCUCUUCCCGGCCGCCAUCCCGUCUAGGAAGUGAGGAGCGUCUCUGCCCGGAUGCCCAUCGUCUGAGAUGUGGGGAGCGCCUCUGCCCCACCGCCCCGUCUGGGAUGUGAGGAGCACCUCUGCCCGGCCGCGACCCCAUCUGGGAGACUACCCUGCUGGACAAGAUUGCUUUUCAACUUGGAGGGAAGAAGUCUGGUUUCCACAUUCUUUCAUAUUUUAUUGAGUACAUUAUAACCUAAAC